rnacentral:rRNA from 1 species
GCUUACGGCCAUACCACCCUGAGAACGCCCGAUCUCGUCCGAUCUCGGAAGCUAAGCAGGGUCGGGCCUGGUUAGUACUUGGAUGGGAGACCGCCUGGGAAUACCAGGUGCCGUAAGCG